rnacentral:rRNA from 1 species
UACGUAGGGCGCAAGCGUUGUCCGGAAUUAUUGGGCGUAAAGAGCUCGUAGGCGGUCUGUCGCGUCGGAUGUGAAAGCCCGGGGCUUAACCCCGGGUCUGCAUUCGAUACGGGCAGACUAGAGUGUGGUAGGGGAGAUCGGAAUUCCUGGUGUAGCGGUGAAAUGCGCAGAUAUCAGGAGGAACACCGGUGGCGAAGGCGGCACUCUGGGCCGGUACUGACGCUCAGGAGCGAAAGCGUGGGGAGCAAACAGG